rnacentral:rRNA from 1 species
AGUUGGUGGAGUGAUUUGUCUGGUUAAUUCCGUUAACGAACGAGACCUUAACCUGCUAACUAGUCGUGUCUUCACAAAAGGCAUUGACUUCUUAGAGGGACUAUGUGUUCAAGCACAUGGAAGUUUGAGGCAAUAACAGGU